rnacentral:lncRNA from 1 species
UAUAACCCAGAAAGAGGAAGUGACUUGCCCAGACCUCACAGCCAGCGGCAGCAGGGCUGGCUGCCUGCACUGGCCUCAGUCCCCCACGCCAGGGUGUGGGGACUCGGCCCUUGGUGGGUCCCAGGCCCUGGGCCGCCUGGUGGUCUGAGAGAGAUCUUGAGUGAGUGCAGGUGUGGCUCCCUCUGCUGCACCGCCCCCCUCCUCCCCCCUCUCCCCCCCACCCCACCCCCGUCCCACCCAGGAGGACAGCUGAGGCUUCCCAGAGAGACUGCCCAGCCACUGCUGUGCAGGGGGCAGCUGAGUCCCCAAAUACAAUUGCAGCCACAACAGAACCUCGAUGAUUUUCCCAGUUCAGCCAAGGACACAGUGCCGCCCUGCUCUCAGGCUCGGCCUGGGGCUGAGGGAGUCACUGCUGUGUGCAGAGCCCUUCCGAGGCAGUUUCAGGACACGUGGGCCCACCUCUUGGGCGGCUCCACUCCCGAGCACACACCUCCUUCCUUCCUUCAUUCAUUCGUCAAGGGCCUGCGCCGUGCAGUCCUGAGCCAGGUACUGGGGCCAGCACUGCAUCAACCCAACACCCACCCUCGCCCUGGAGGCCACUGCACCACUCACUCACCUUCUGCCAGACCCUCCAGUGGAGCCCCCAAGUUAUGUGACCACGGCCCAUCCCAGCUCCAAGUCUUCAAUGACUCCCAGCUGCUUCCAGCCAAAAGGCAAGCCCCUCAGCCUGGUAUUGGAGGCCCUUUGUGGUUUCGUGCUGGCGGGCCACUCCCACCACGUGCGUGCCUAGGGCUCCUGAAAAAGGAACCUGACCCCAACUUGUUCCCAGAACGUCCCACGGGGUCGUUCCCCAUCCCCCCCCCCAUCCCUCCUCUGGUUCACUGCAUUCCCUCACCAGGAAUGCCUUCUCCAGCUUGUCUAGAUGGUCCCAGCCCCUGCAGCUGGACCACGGGCAGGAGGAGGCGACGGGGCAGAGGACCCUGGCUCUACCUCUGGCUUAGGGAGGGUGUGAGGUCAAGGAGGUGGCAACCAAGGCUCUGCCAGCCAGAGUUAACCCAACUGAGCACUUGCAAGUGCUUCCAUGGAUUAACCCAAUGA